AAGAAGAAAAAACCCACAAUUCUCACUGAAAUCACUUGAAACUCACAAAAGUAACAAUAAAUAAAAAUUUAUUGAAAAUUAAAUAAUCAAAAACAGCCAUUACUUUUGAAUUGUUGAUUAACAUAAUUAUUUAAAAAAACAAACUAAUGAAACAGGCCUGGACAAAAAUGAUGGUACCUCUAUAAAAGAUUGAAAACUAUUUGACCAGAGUGACAUGAUUAACUCAGGUGUGUCAUUUAAUUGACAUCACAGGUGUUUCCAAACUCAUAAUCAGUCAGUCUGCCUAUUUAAAGGGAGACAAGUAGUCACCCUGCUGUUUGGUGAAAAGGUGUGUACCACACUGAACAUGGACAACAGAAAGCGAAGGAGAGAAUUGUCCCAGGACAUCCGAAAAAAAUUAUAGACAAACAUCUUAAAGGUAAAGGCUAUAAGACCAUCUCUAAACAGCUUGAAGUUCCUGUGACAACAGUGGCUCAUAUUAUUCAGAAGUUCAAGACCCACGGGACAGUAGCCAACCUCCCUGGACGUGGCCGCAAGAGGAAAAUUGAUGACAAAUUGAAGAGAUGGAUCGUUGGAAUUGUAUCCAAAGAGCCCAGAGCAACCUCCAAAGAAAUUAAAGGUGAACUCCAAGGCCAAGGUACAUCAGUGUCAGAUCGCACCAUUCGUCGUUGUUUGAGCCAAAGUGGACUUCAUGGGAGACGACCAAGGAGGACACCACUGCUGAAAAAAACUCAUAAAAAAGCCAGACUGGAAUUUGCAAAAAUGCAUGUUGACAAGCCACAAAGCUUCUGGGAGACUGUCCUUUGGACAGAUGAGACCAAACUGGAGCUUUUUGGUAAGGCAUAUCAACUCUAUGUUCAUAGACUCAAAAACCAAGCAUACGAAGAAAAGAACACUGUCCCUACGGUGAAACAUGGAGGAGGCUCAGUAAUGUUUUGGGGCUGCUUUGCUGCAUCUGGCACAGGGUGUCUUGAAAGUGUCCAAGGUACGAUGAAAUCUGAAGACUAUCAAGGCAUUCUGGAGAGAAAUGUGCUGCCUCGUGUCAGAAAGCUUGGUCUCAGUCGCAGGUCAUGGGUCUUCCAACAGGACAACGAUCCAAAACACACAGCCAAAAACACCCAAGAAUGGCUGAGAGAAAAGUGUUGGACUAUUCUAAAGUGGCCUUCUAUGAGCCCAGAUCUGAAUCCCAUUGAACAUAUGUGGAAGGAGCUGAAACAUGCCAUUUGGAGAAGACACCCAUCAAACCUGAGACAACUGGAGCUGUUUGCUCAUGAGGAGUGGGCCAAAAUACCUGUUGACAGCUGCAGAACGCUCAUUGACAAAUACAGAAAUCGUUUAAUUGCAGUGAUUGCCUCAAAAGGUUGUGCAACAAAAUAUUAAGUUAUGGGUACCAUCAUUUUUGUCCAGCCCUAUUUCAUUAGUUUGUUUUUUUAAAUAAUUAUGUUAAUCAACAAUUCAAAAGUGAUGGCUGAUUUUGAUUAUUUAAUUUUCAAUAAAUUUUUAUUUAUUGUUA